AUUCCAGCUCCAAUAGCGUAUAUUAAAGUUGUUGCAGUUAAAACGCUCGUAGUCGGAUUUCGGGGCGGGCCGACCGGUCUGCCGAUGGGUAUGCACUGGCCGGCGCGUCCUUCCACCCGGAGACCGCGCCUACUCUUAACUGAGCGGGCGCGGGAGACGGGUCUUUUACUUUGAAAAAAUCAGAGUGUUUCAAGCAGGCAGUCGCUCUUGCAUGGAUUAGCAUGGGAUAAUGAAAUAGGACUCUGGUGCUAUUUUGUUGGUUUCGAACACCGGAGUAAUGAUUAACAGGGACAGUUGGGGGCAUUAGUAUUUAAUUGUCAGAGGUGAAAUUCUUGGAUUUAUUAAAGACUAACUUAUGCGAAAGCAUUUGCCAAGGAUGUUUUCAUCG
rnacentral:rRNA from 1 species